AAGUCGUAACAAGGUUUCCGUAGGUGAACCUGCGGAAGGAUCAUUAAAAGUGCCCUCGUGGCGAACCCGAUGCGUUUUUCUGGUGCGGACGGCUGAGGUAAUCGGCUUGUCUCCAUCUGCUGGGUGAUUCCGGGAGAUGGUGCCAGAAGACACCGAACUGUUGUUAUUAAGUAGUUUUUUUGUAAAAGUUUCACAACUUUCAACGAUGGAUCUCUUGGUUUCUGCGACG
rnacentral:misc_RNA from 1 species